CGAAAGGUUGGCUAAUACCGCAUGAGUUCUACGGAAGAAAGAGGGGGACCCGCAAGGGCCUCUCGCGAGCGGAGCGGCCGAUGACUGAUUAGCCGGUUGGUGAGGUAACGGCUCACCAAAGCAACGAUCAGUAGCUGGUCUGAGAGGACGACCAGCCACACUGGGACUGAGACACGGCCCAGACUCCUACGGGAGGCAGCAGUGGGGAAUUUUGGACAAUGGGCGCAAGCCUGAUCCAGCUAUUCCGCGUGUGGGAUGAAGGCCCUCGGGUUGUAAGCCACUUUUGUAGAGAACGAAAAGACACCUUUUAAAAAAGGGUGUUGCUGACGGUACUCUAAGAAUAAGCACCGGCUAACUACGUGCCAGCAGCCGCGGUAAUACGUAGGGUGCGAGCGUUAAUCGGAAUUACUGGGCGUAAAGGGUGCGCAGGCGGUUGAGUAAGACAGAUGUGAAAUCCCCGAGCUUAACUCGGGAAUGGCAUAUGUGACUGCUCGACUAGAGUGUGUCAGAGGGAGGUGGAAUUCCACGUGUAGCAGUGAAAUGCGUAGAUAUGUGGAAGAACACCGAUGGCGAAGGCAGCCUCCUGGGACAUAACUGACGCUCAGGCACGAAAGCGUGGGAAGCAAACAGGAUUAGAUACCCUGGUAGUCCACGCCCUAAACGAU
rnacentral:rRNA from 1 species